AUGCUCGCUUUGGCAGCACAUAUACUAAAAUUGAGAUGAUAUAGAGAAGAUUGCCAUGGCCCCAGCACAAGGAUGACAUGCAAAUUUGCGAAGUGUUCCAUAUCAAA
rnacentral:snRNA from 1 species